rnacentral:rRNA from 1 species
CUUUUGCUGGCGACCGGCGCACGGGUGAGUAACACGUAUCCAACCUGCCCUUUACUCAGGGAUAGCCUUUCGAAAGAAAGAUUAAUACCCGAUAGCAUAAUGAUUCCGCAUGGUUUCAUUAUUAAAGGAUUCCGGUAAAGGAUGGGGAUGCGUUCCAUUAGGUUGUUGGUGAGGUAACGGCUCACCAAGCCUUCGAUGGAUAGGGGUUCUGAGAGGAAGGUCCCCCACAUUGGAACUGAGACACGGUCCAA